rnacentral:rRNA from 1 species
CAGUAGCCGCGGUAAUACGUAGGUGGCGAGCGUUGUCCGGAUUUAUUGGGCGUAAAGGGAGUGUAGGCGGUCUUUUAAGUCUGAUGUGAAAGCCCACGGCUCAACCGUGGUGGGUCGUUGGAAACUGGGAGACUUGAGUGCAGAAGAGGAGAGCGGAAUUCCAUGUGUAGCGGUGAAAUGCGUAGAUAUAUGGAGGAACACCAGUGGCGAAGGCGGCUCUCUGGUCUGUAACUGACGCUGAGGCUCGAAAGCGUGGGGAGCAAACAGGAUUAGAGACCCGCGUAGUCCCUGUCUCUUAUAC